AGCGAACGCUGGCGGCAGGCUUAACACAUGCAAGUCGAGCGGGCCCUUCGGGGUCAGCGGCGGACGGGUGAGUAACGCGUGGGAACGUGCCUUCUGGUUCGGAAUAACCCUGGGAAACUAGGGCUAAUACCGGAUACGCCCUGUUGGGGAAAGGUUUACUGCCGGAAGAUCGGCCCGCGUCUGAUUAGCUAGUUGGUGGGGUAACGGCCUACCAAGGCGACGAUCAGUAGCUGGUCUGAGAGGAUGAUCAGCCACACUGGGACUGAGACACGGCCCAGACUCCUACGGGAGGCAGCAGUGGGGAAUAUUGGACAAUGGGCGCAAGCCUGAUCCAGCCAUGCCGCGUGAGUGAUGAAGGCCUUAGGGUUGUAAAGCUCUUUUAUCCGGGACGAUAAUGACGGUACCGGAGGAAUAAGCCCCGGCUAACUUCGUGCCAGCCGCCGCAGUAACAC
rnacentral:rRNA from 1 species